AAAAUUAUUAAAGGUUUUGUCAGUGGUGACACCUUUGAUUGUCGUGUAAUGCUUAAUAUAUAAUUUUUGGAGUUUAUGGCGUUACAUAACACAUGUCGGCAAAUCUUGGUAUGUAAUAGAAGGUAUCGCAAUUUCACCAUCAUGGUUUAUCUUUUUAUGAAUCACCAUUAUAGAUAGACUAUAAACUAUAAAAUGAAAGUAGGAAAAAAAGGAACAACUUAGC
rnacentral:lncRNA from 1 species